UAAUUGCGUAUACUCUGACUUCUUAUUUAUUUAUGCUUUUUCUGAUGCUAUAUAUAGUUGUACAGGAGUAGACCACUGAAGUUGUGCGUCAUUCUGUAGUGCUCGUACGGCUUCCGUGUCUAAGCGUUUUUUCCCUAUAAGAAAAAUGAAUGGGGUUUUUAAAAACUCGCCUCUGUCACAUUCUGUGGUAAAUAAAUCUGUUCAGACCCCUGUACGUUUUAUUCUGUGUACAUUUUAUUCCUGAACAUCACUGGAUCCUCUGAAUUACGAGAUCAUUUAAGGGUCGUAAUGAGAAAAAUGCUACAUUUAAGCUAAUGCUACAGCGGAGUGAACUGACCUCCCGGCGCCGCUGCAGAGAUUAGCAGGGGACUGUUUUUCGACUCAACACCAGAGAACUCCAGCUGUAAGUUAGGAGCAUUUUACACACAGCUGAGACUAAUAAUGAACUAACUGCCCUCACAGUGAUAUUUAGGAGGUAAAUGUACACAGAAUAAAACGUACAGGGUUCUGAACAUAUUUAUUUACCACAGAAUGUGACAGAGGCCAGUUUUUGAAAAGCCCAUUCAAAUCCCAUAUUGAUUUGGACGGCUUAGACACAGAACCCCAAAGGAGCCCCAAAUAUGGGCAUAAACAACAUGGCGCCGACUACAAAAUGACGCAGGACUUCAGUGGUCUAUUAAAACUGUACACAGGACUAUAUUAGACCUUUCAUGAUCACACUGAUUAUGUAUUUGUUCUGAAAGAAAUGCGUUUCAUUCUAGGAUUGAUCUUUAGGGCUGUAUUGUUGUUUUACAGCUAGCUAGCUACACUGCAUGUAGAGAGAGACACUCCUUACUUCAUAAGCUUAUCAUUACACAUUAGUACAUUCAAUUUUAACUGUACAGUAGUGGUGGAUGUUUGAAGUCGCUGGCAGGUCCCCGACGGACCAAAAUAAAGAGAAGUGCUUUACUGGGAACCAGCAAAAUUCUUACAAUCCAGGCCCUGGCAAAAAAGAGGCAGAAGAGGACAACAAGGCUGCCCAAGAAAGUGACUGCAAACGAGGGGACAGUCACAGAGCCAGCUGAAUAAUACCUUGCCUUAACUGAACCUAACUAACACUCUCUUGAUGGAGUGAUGAGUGACUGAUCAGCCUGUGUAUGCAUUUCCCUUAAGUGGCCACUGAGGAGAGUAAUGCAGCUUCUGAGUUCAUUUUUUUGUAGUGAAGGGUUGUCAUUUGUCAUCCUACAGGGAGAACAGCUCAAUUCAGGCGCAGCUUUGCCAGCUGUCCACCACUUACCACAUAUAAGGCCAGAGGUCAUGACCUGGCCGAAAGAUUUGAGUGUGUGUGCACGUGUGUAGUGGAUACUGACAACUUCCAUGUGUUUUGUGUCUUCUAAAGGUUAGUUAUUGGGAAUCAAGAGACAUCGUAACCUUUAAGCAGCUGUGAUGAAAAGAGGGGGUAUUGGGGGCUCCAGAGAUACAGCCUCAAAUAGCUGCAGGUGUACAGUUGGAGGAAAAGUAAAUUAAUUCUUUGGAAAAGUUUUUGCAUUAAUUACUAAUAAAAUGUGGUCUCAUUUUCA
rnacentral:lncRNA from 1 species